GUCGAGCGGACAGAUGGGAGCUUGCUCCCUGAUGUUAGCGGCGGACGGGUGAGUAACACGUGGGUAACCUGCCUGUAAGACUGGGAUAACUCCGGGAAACCGGGGCUAAUACCGGAUGCUUGUUUGAACCGCAUGGUUCAAACAUAAAAGGUGGCUUCGGCUACCACUUACAGAUGGACCCGCGGCGCAUUAGCUAGUUGGUGAGGUAAUGGCUCACCAAGGCAACGAUGCGUAGCCGACCUGAGAGGGUGAUCGGCCACACUGGGACUGAGACACGGCCCAGACUCCUACGGGAGGCAGCAGUAGGGAAUCUUCCGCAAUGGACGAAAGUCUGACGGAGCAACGCCGCGUGAGUGAUGAAGGUUUUCGGAUCGUAAAGCUCUGUUGUUAGGGAAGAACAAGUACCGUUCGAAUAGGGCGGUACCUUGACGGUACCUAACCAGAAAGCCACGGCUAACUACGUGCCAGCAGCCGCGGUAAUACGUAGGUGGCAAGCGUUGUCCGGAAUUAUUGGGCGUAAAGGGCUCGCAGGCGGUUUCUUAAGUCUGAUGUGAAAGCCCCCGGCUCAACCGGGGAGGGUCAUUGGAAACUGGGGAACUUGAGUGCAGAAGAGGAGAGUGGAAUUCCACGUGUAGCGGUGAAAUGCGUAGAGAUGUGGAGGAACACCAGUGGCGAAGGCGACUCUCUGGUCUGUAACUGACGCUGAGGAGCGAAAGCGUGGGGAGCGAACAGGAUUAGAUACCCUGGUAGUCCACGCCGUAAACGAUGAGUGCUAAGUGUUAGGG
rnacentral:rRNA from 1 species